ACGGGUGCGAAACGCGUGGGAAUCUGCCCUUGGGUUCGGAAUAACAUCGGGAAACUGAUGCUAAUACCGGAUGAUGACGAAAGUCCAAAGAUUUAUCGCCCAGGGAUGAGCCCGCGUAGGAUUAGCUAGUUGGUGAGGUAAAGGCUCACCAAGGCGACGAUCCUUAGCUGGUCUGAGAGGAUGAUCAGCCACACUGGGACUGAGACACGGCCCAGACUCCUACGGGAGGCAGCAGUAGGGAAUAUUGGACAAUGGGGGCAACCCUGAUCCAGCAAUGCCGCGUGAGUGAUGAAGGCCUUAGGGUUGUAAAGCUCUUUUACCCGGGAUGAUAAUGACAGUACCGGGAGAAUAAGCCCCGGCUAACUCCGUGCCAGCAGCCGCGGUAAUACGGAGGGGGCUAGCGUUGUUCGGAAUUACUGGGCGUAAAGCGCACGUAGGCGGCGAUUUAAGUCAGAGGUGAAAGCCCGGGGCUCAACCCCGGAAUAGCCUUUGAGACUGGAUUGCUUGAAUCUUGGAGAGGCGGGUGGAAUUCCGAGUGUAGAGGUGAAAUUCGUAGA
rnacentral:rRNA from 2 species